UACAGAGGUGGCAAGCGUUGUUCGGAAUUACUGGGCGUAAAGGGCGCGUAGGCGGCCUUCUAAGUCAGACGUGAAAUCCCCUGGCUUAACCUGGGAACUGCGUCUGAUACUGGGAGGCUUGAGUAUGGGAGAGGGAUGUAGAAUUCCAGGUGUAGCGGUGAAAUGCGUAGAUAUCUGGAGGAAUACCGGUGGCGAAGGCGGCAUCCUGGACCGGUAUUGACGCUGAUGCGCGAAAGCCAGGGGAGCAAACGGG
rnacentral:rRNA from 1 species